AGGCAGGCGCUCGCUGAGGCAGGAGGAGGCGCUCGGCCCGCGGCCUGACAGGGACUUAGCCCGCAGAGAUCGACCCCGCGCGCGCGACCCCACACCCACCCACUCAUCCACCUAUCCACUCCCUGCGCCGCCUCCUCCCACCCUGAGCAGAGCCGCCGAGGAUGAUAAACACCCAGGACAGUAGUAUUUUGCCUUUGAGUAACUGUCCCCAGCUCCAGUGCUGCAGGCACAUUGUUCCAGGGCCUCUGUGGUGCUCCUGAUGCCCCUCACCCACUGUCGAAGAUCCCCGGUGGGCGAGGGGGCGGCAGGGAUCCUUCUCUCUCAGCUCUAAUAUAUAAGGACGAGAAGCUCACUGUGACCCAGGACCUCCCUGUGAAUGAUGGAAAACCUCACAUCGUCCACUUCCAGUAUGAGGUCACCGAGGUGAAGGUCUCUUCUUGGGAUGCAGUCCUGUCCAGCCAGAGCCUAUUGUUAGCAUUGCUAGAGUUUGCUGAAGAGAAGAUGAAAGUGAACUAUGUCUUCAUCUGCUUCAGGAAGGGCCGAGAAGACAGAGCUCCACUUCUGAAGACCUUCAGCUUCUUGGGCUUUGAGAUUGUACGUCCAGGCCAUCCCUGUGUCCCCUCUCGGCCAGAUGUGAUGUUCAUGGUUUAUCCCCUGGACCAGAACUUGUCUGAUGAGGACUAAUAGUCAUAGAGGAUGCUUUACCCAAGAGCCACAGUAGGGGAAGAGGGGAAGUUAGGCAGCCCUGGGACAGACGAGAGGGCUCCUCGCUGUCUAGGGAAGGACACUGAGGGGCUCAGGGUGAGGGUUGCCUAUUGUGUUCUCGGAGUUGACUCGUUGAAAUUGUUUUCCAUAAAGAACAGUAUAAACAUAUUAUUCACAUGUAAUCACCAAUAGUAAAUGAAGAUGUUUAUGAACUGGCAUUAGAAGCUUUCUAAACUGCGCUGUGUGAUGUGUUCUAUCUAGCCUAGGGGAAGACAUUGCCUAGAGGGGGAGGGACUGUCUGGGUUCAGGGGCAUGGCCGGGAGGGCUGGUGGGCAGCACUGUCAGGCUCAGGUUUCCCUGCUGUUGGCUUUCUGUUUUGGUUAUUAAGACUUGUGUAUUUUCUUUCUUUGCUUCCUGUCACCCCAGGGGCUCCUGAGUGUAGGCUUUUCAGUCCCUGGGCAGUGUCCUUGAGUUGUUUUUUGACACUCUUACCUGGGCUUCUCUGUGUGCAUUUGUGUCUGGCCUGGAGUAAGCAGGUCCGACCCCUCCUUCUUUACGGCUUAGUGUUAUUCUGGCAUUUGGUUAAGCUGGCUUAAUCUGUUCAACGUUAUCAGUACAUUUUAAAUAGGGGCAUUGAAAUUUACUCCCACCAUCAGGGCUUUUUUGGGGGAUGCCUGGGCCUUAAAAACACUAGCCAAACUCUAAUUCUCAAAUCACUGCCAGGAGUUCUUGCUCCUGGCUGCAGGCCCAGGCCUCAAGGUCUCCUUCUUGGGGUCACAAAGAUCAGUAAGGAAGAGGAAUAUAUAGCAACUCAGGGCCUGGGAAUUGUGGGGCAAUCUGUUCUUAGGGAUUGGAUGCUUCUGGCUGGCUGAGUAUAGUACUAGCUACCUCCCCACCAGGUUCUGAAUAGUGUCUGAGACCCUGCUCUGCAGGGCCUAGGGUAGCUGGGAGUGUAGAAGUGUCCUGCCCUUAACUGUUUUCACUAAACAGCUUUUUCCAAGGGGAGAGGAAGGGGGAGAGAUCUAGAUUGGGUGAGGGGGAUGGGGAUGUCAGGGAGGCAAGUGUGUUGUGUUACUGUGUCAAUAAACUGAUUUAAAGUUAAAAAAAAAAA